rnacentral:rRNA from 1 species
GACGAACGCUGGCGGCGUGCUUAACACAUGCAAGUCGAACGGAAAGGCCCUGCUUUUGUGGGGUGCUCGAGUGGCGAACGGGUUAGUAACACGUGAGUAACCUGCCCUUGACUUUGGGAUAACUUCAGGAAACUGGGGCUAAUACCGGAUAGGUGCUCCUGCUGCAUGGUGGGGGUUGGAACGUUUCGGCGGUUGGGGAUGGACUCGCGGCUUAUCAGCUUGUUGGUGGGGUAGUGGCUUACCAAGGCUUUGACGGGUAGCCGGCCUGAGAGGGUGACCGGCCACAUUGAGACUGAGAUACGGCCCAGACUCCUACGGGAGGCAGCAGUGGGGAAUAUUGCACAAUGGGCGGAAGCCUGAUGCAGCAACGCCGCGUGCGGGAUGACGGCCUUCGGGUUGUAAACCGCUUUCGCCUGUGACGAAGCGUGAGUGACGGUAAUGGGUAAAGAAGCACCGGCUAACUACGUG